AGUUACCUGUGAGGCACUGUCAUAAUGUGUUCCUGGGACACCCGACAGAUGUUUUUCGGAACUGGCAUCAAACUCUUUGUGGAGCCCCAAAGUCAGCCUCAUACCAAACCAUCCGUUUUCGUCAUGAAAAAUGGAACAAAUGUCGCUUGUCUGGUGAAGGAAUUCUACCCCAAGGAUAUAAGAAUAAAUCUUGAGUCAUCCAAGAAGAUAACAGAGUUUGAUCCUGCUAUUGUCAUCUCUCCCAGUGGGAAGUACAAUGCUGUCAAGCUUGGUCAAUAUGAAGAUUCAAAUUCAGUGACAUGUUCAGUUCAACACGACAAUAAAACUGUGCACUCCACUGAUUUUGAAGUGAAGAAAAAUUCUACAGAUCACCUAAAACCAAUGGAAACUGAAAACACAAAGCAACCUUCAAAGAGCUGCCAUAAACCCAAAGGUUAGUUCAAAUCAAAGGGCCAACUUCAGAAUCAAGGAUUAAAGCAAACUCUGUAAUUGUCCACUGGGGCCAAAAUGUAUCAGAUUUCAAAAAAAAACACAAACCAUGCUGAGCCCAGUUGGUUAUGCGGAGCCUCUGACUCUCCCAGCCAGGUUUACCUGGCUGUCGGCAUCGGUUUCCCAAGCUUGCCUGGCUGGGUGUCAGCAGCAGCCUAAGGUCUCUGACGGCUAUCUGGCACCAUGCUGGGCUUGCAGGCCAGAAAGAACUAGACAGACUUGGGGCAGGCUGAUAUCAGUGUUGCAGGCCCAAUUUCUGGAAAGGAAUUUCAUCUCUCCCUGAAGCCACCCUCUUCACUCUUGUUCAACCAUAGUUCAUACCGAGAAGAUGAACAUGAUGUCCCUCACAGUGCUGGGGCUACGAAUGCUGUUUGCAAAGAGUGUUGCCAUCAAUUUUCUCUUGACUGCCAAGUUAUUUUUCUUGUAAGGUAAGAAUUAGCUGCUUCUUAUUCCUAUCUCUACCCACACCAUGAUGCACAUGGGGAAAGGGGAUUUAGAAAUGGUAAGAAACCAAGAAGCAUUGGAAAGGGAAAAUAGAGACAUACUUAGAAUUAAUAAGGUAGGCUAUCUCAGCUACUCAGCAAAACAGCACCCCAUUUCCUGUUAUCCUUUCAUUUUUAGUCAGACUGAAACCCAUUAGUUAGUAAAAUGUACCAUUUUUCUAAUUUACCAGACAAUAACCCUCACUUUUACCCCAGGGAGAAAACUGAAGAUAAAUAAGGAGAAUUCAUCUUCUUUACUGCUAUUU